UAUUUAAUAAUUAAAAGAUAAGAAUGUGGCUUCCAAAGCCUAUUACUAUGUUCUAAGGGAGAUUUCACAACCUUGACAGACAUGCAAACUUAAUAAGAGAUUAAAGCAGAACUCUAUCUUUAUCUGCUUCACAUACACAGCAUAUUCAUAUAGAAUAUAGAAUGUAGUAUAUUAAAUAAGACUGAAACCAAAAAUCUUAGAAUUUGAAGUACAUUAUUAACCAUUUAUGGUAUUGUGGCACCUACUUCCCUCCUGAAUCUCAUUUGAUUCCUUGCCAAUGUAUAGAAUAACAGCUCUAGCUCACAGACUUACUCUAAGUCCAAAUUGUCUUCAUACUAUGACUACAGAGUUUUAAAAGUACACUCUGCAAAUAUCAGUCUCCUGAAGAAAUACCACAAAAGAAAGCCAGGAAUACCACAAAAGAAUCUCCAUAUUAAGGUUAGUUAUUUCUUUUCCCUUUUAAGAUCAAAGUGUUUUAUUUUGUUUUGUUCUAUUCAGCAUGAAUUAAGCUUUUCCAAUAGACUACAAAGAAUAUAGAAAAGACACAUCUAUUUCUGCUUCAUGAUGGUAAACAGUUGUACAGGUGUUAAAUAAAAAUUACAAAAAUCCAUUGUUUGGGGCUCAGCUCCUGCACUAGGCCACAACAGAUACAGCUAAAAAAACAAAUAGUAUUCUGUUCAAAUUCUAAGCUAAAACUUAACUAUGUAGUAAAAGUAACCCAGUUUCCCAAAUAGGCCAGUUUCAAUCAGCACAAUGAAAUGCCCUCUGUCUUAACAUUACUCACACACAAAACAAAUGGUAGCUUGAAAUAACUCGACGUUAACCAACUGGUUGUUUUCCUAUUAUUCUGUCUCCCUGUUUAUGUCUCAUAGGAAGAGUGAAAAAAGUAAUUUAAAAACCACCAACCUACUUUUCAGCUGUCCUUUUCUUUUUUGUCUCUGCUUAAUGCAGCCCUUUUUUUUGUCUAUAAAAACCAACCUUUCCAUCAGGCCUCACUGGAGUAUUUAUUAUAUUCCAUCAAAUGGAAGGGUUGUCCAAUUCUGGAAUUGAAAGUGAAAGCCAAUUAAGAUAAUUAAGCCAAAUUGCUAUAAUUCUGUCUUUUGACAGAGGGGGAAGGUUUUCUCCUUUAGAUAUCUCUCUGGUAUGCAAAUUAUAUGGGUAAAAUAAUUCCCUAAGCAACCCAGGCCAGAGCAUAAACAACAACAGAGAAAGUAGCAAAUCUUUGCUACCGAAGAGUUAUGAGGCAACUAACAUGAGGGAAGGUAUGGAAAGGAAAAAGAAAGGAAGGGAAUAGGAAGGGAGGGGAGGGGAAUUGGAACUGUAUUUUACAAUUCACAUAAAAUGCAGUCAUACUGUAAAAGGAACCUUAUCACUUAGAUUAUCUGUCUGUCUAACUAACAUCUAUUUCCUCUCUCAUACCUCUCUUCCUCUCCUCCAAACACUUCUUUCUCUUUUCUCUCUCCUCCCUACUUCUAUUCUCCUCUCUACCUCUCCUCUUUUCUCCUCUCUCUCUCUCUGUCUCUCUCUUUCUGUCUUGCUCACUCUUGCUUGCUGUCAUUUGCUCUAUCUCUUCUUCCACCGAAUGGUUUUGCUAUGUAACUCAGGCUGACCUCAUAUCCAAAUUUCUUUCUAGUUUAUCUGUCUCUAACCUCAAAAUAAAGUGGGAGGAAGGAAGGGAGGGAAGAAGGGAUGGAAGGUAGAAGAGGGAGGGAGGAAGAAAGAAGAAAAGAGAAAAAAAAAGACAGGAAUAGAAAAGAAGAAAAUAGAAACAAAGCAAACACUUGAGAUAUACUUUGCAAUUAUCUUGGCUUUGGAGUUUUUUGGUUUUGUUUCAUUUAGGCUUUGGGGAUUGAUUCUAGGACCUGUGCUAGCAUGUACUCUACCACUGAGCUUCCCCUCUGACCUGUCUUUGAUUUUGAGAUACUUUUCUAUCAGUGGCAAGAUAUUCCUAACACAGUAGGCUUUUUAAAAAAAUCAA